GACGAACGCUGGCGGCGUGCUUAACACAUGCAAGUCGAACGGAAAGGCCCUGCUUUUGUGGGGUGCUCGAGUGGCGAACGGGUGAGUAACACGUGAGUAACCUGCCCCUGACUUUGGGAUAACUUCAGGAAACUGGGGCUAAUACCGGAUAGGAGCUCCUGCUGCAUGGUGGGGGUUGGAAAGUUUCGGCGGUUGGGGAUGGACUCGCGGCUUAUCAGCUUGUUGGUGGGGUAGUGGCUUACCAAGGCUUUGACGGGUAGCCGGCCUGAGCGGGUGACCGGCGACAUUGGGACUGCGAUACGGCCCAGACUCCUACGGGAGGCAGCAGUGGGGAAUAUUGCACAAUGGGCGGAAGCCUGAUGCAGCAACGCCGCGUGCGGGAUGACGGCUUGCGGGUUGUAAACCGCUUUCGCCUGUGACGAAGCGUGAGUGACGGUAAUGGGUAAAGAAGCACCGGCUAACUACGUG
rnacentral:rRNA from 1 species